UUAAUUGAAGCCAAGGAAGGAGAGAGGCAUCUUAAUGUUAAUAAGAGAAAUGAUUUUUUAAUCCAAUUAAU
rnacentral:tRNA from 1 species